CGCGUAGGCGGCUCGGUACGCGUGCGGUGAAAGCUCGGGGCUUAACCCCGAGUCUGCCGUGCGGACGGCUGGGCUAGGGCACUGUAGAGGCAGGUAGAAUUCCGGGUGUAGCGGUGGAAUGCGUAGAGAUCCGGAAGAAUACCGGUGGCGAAGGCGGCCUGCUGGGCAGUAGCCGACGCUGAGGCGCGACAGCGUGGGGAGCAAACA
rnacentral:rRNA from 1 species